rnacentral:rRNA from 1 species
CUUGCUUCUCUUGAGAGCGGCGGACGGGUGAGUAAUGCCUAGGAAUCUGCCUGGUAGUGGGGGAUAACGUCCGGAAACGGACGCUAAUACCGCAUACGUCCUACGGGAGAAAGCAGGGGACCUUCGGGCCUUGCGCUAUCAGAUGAGCCUAGGUCGGAUUAGCUAGUUGGUGGGGUAAUGGCUCACCAAGGCGACGAUCCGUAACUGGUCUGAGAGGAUGAUCAGUCACACUGGAACUGAGACACGGUCCAGACUCCUACGGGAGGCAGCAGUGGGGAAUAUUGGACAAUGGGCGAAAGCCUGAUCCAGCCAUGCCGCGUGUGUGAAGAAGGUCUUCGGAUUGUAAAGCACUUUAAGUUGGGAGGAAGGGCAGUAAAUUAAUACUUUGCUGUUUUGACGUUACCGACAGAAUAAGCACCGGCUAACUCUGUGCCAGCAGCCGCGGUAAUACAGAGGGUGCAAGCGUUAAUCGGAAUUACUGGGCGUAAAGCGCGCGUAGGUGGUUUCGUUUAUUUUGUU